ACGGGUGAGUAACACGUUGGUGACCUGCCCCGAAGCGGGGGGCAACCACUGGAAACGGUGGCUAAUACCGCAUGUGCUUAAUCAUUCGUUUGGUUAAGUAAAACUCAGGUGCUUCGGGAGGGGCCUGCGGUCGAUUAGUUAGUUGGUGAGGUAAUGGCUCACCAAGACGAUGAUCGAUAGGGGGCGUGAGAGCGUGACCCCCCACACUGGAACUGAGACACGGUCCAGACUCCUACGGGAGGCAGCAGUGAGGAAUAUUGCACAAUGGGCGCAAGCCUGAUGCAGCAACGCCGCGUGGGGGAUGAAGGCCUUCGGGUCGUAAACCUCUUUUCCAUGGGAAGAGAAAGGACGGUACCAUGGGAAUAAGUCUCGGCUAACUACGUGCCAGCAGCCGCGGUAAAACGUANGAGGCGAACGUUAUCCGGAAUUACUGGGCGUAAAGCGCGCGCAGGCGGCUUUGUAAGUCCGACGUGAAAGCUCCCGGCUUAACUGGGAGAGGCCGUUGGAUACUGCGGAGCUUGAGGUUAGGAGAGGAAAGCGGAAUUCCCGGUGUAGUGGUGGAAUGCGUAGAUAUCGGGAGGAACUCCAGAGGCGAAAGCGGCUUUCUGGGCCUACACCUGACGCUGAGGCGCGAAAGCGUGGGGAGCGAACAGGAUUAGAUACCCUGGUAGUCCACGCUGUAACGAUG
rnacentral:rRNA from 1 species